rnacentral:misc_RNA from 1 species
AACUGCCCCGCCCGCCUGUCCGGUGACGCAGCCUUCAUCUGCUCAUUUCCCAGCGUGUUGUGUUUUUGCUUGGCGCGCACUCUCUCUGAUCUUGUCCUGGCGAGGGAGAAGUGUCUAGCGGUGUGCGGGAAGUUUCGGGCCUGCACUUCAUCCGAGUCGAUCUGUGUGACUGGCUGCUGACGACGAACAGCAGAGACCAGCGUUGUUGCACUGUAUCCUAUAUAUAUAUAUAUACACGUAUCCUAGAUUCUAUAGAGAAAGGGGGCGAAGGGGAAGUUGGUGGUGGCAUACGCAGCGGACGAAUCAGCGGCGGCGUACUCCUGCCCACGCCAUCAUUAGGUGCACCACCACACACACACACACACAAACAGACCUCCUUCCUUCCCACUCCCAUACAUUGCACACAUCGCGCAGGUCUGCUGGCGCAUCAAGCAGCCAUUCCUCGUCUUCGCUCCGCCUUACGUGGCCUUCGAGCUUCCUUUGUUGGUGUCUGUUUAGCGUCUCGGAUCAUCGCGAUUUGUCUUUUCAUCGUCGUUGUCCUCGCCACCGCCACGCCCUGUCUCCCCUCUUUCGUCAGUGUCUCAUCUCUGCGCCAUCUGGCCCUCGUCUUCGCAUCGGCGCUCCCUCUCCCUCUCACUUCCGCACCCUCACGCACACGCGGCGGCGGUAUCCCUCGAUCUGCUGUUCCGCUGCGCCUGCGUCCCUCGCGUGCGUUUCGCGUUGCUCUCCUCCGCCCUUUCCUCUGCUACAGACACAGAGAUCUGUCGAUUGCCCACGCAGACUGACAGACGCACAAGCAAAGACGGGAUAGGCUGCUGUCGCUGGGGCUGCAGCCCGUUGUUGCUGCCAUCUUUUACUCUGUUCCUCUCUCGCUGGCUACGCCACUCACCCCUUCCCCGCCCGAUCAGCCAUGAUGGACAUCACCAUCGGCUCGCCUUCGUCGUCUUAUCGCAGCCGCAGCCGCAGCAGUCGCGGCUAUACCCAGCGCCCUGACCUUGCUCGCGAUGCGGCUGGUAGCGGUGACAGCAGCGCUGCCGGCCAGGAGACGGAGCUGUUGACAGGUGCAGCGGGGCUGGACGACACAGACGGAGGCGAAGGCCACCACGCUCGUUGCAGCCCAGCAGACUCACAUGGCGGCUUUGAGGCAGACUAUAGUGACCUAGACCACAGGGCAGCGGGCGCGAGUCGAUCACCGCCUUCGUUAGGCGAGAGGGAGGAGACGUGCAGACCACCGCCGCCGAACACCAGCGCGGCACCGGCGCCGCAGCGCCACGUGGCCGACGAGCUCGUUCACGCUUUGCCGAACCGUGAGUCGAUGUCGCCGGCUCAGAUGGCACCGUCGUCGAUCCCGUUCUCAGCGCCGCUGCCGUCCUCUUCGUCAUCCGUGGCUGGCAGUGGCGGUGCGGCGCACCUGCCCCCUCGUCGUGCACCACAGCUGCUGCCACACGAUCGCCUGCACAGCCGCGUGGAGGGGAUGGCGUGGCUUUGCUCUGCAGCUGACCGUGAUCGGGCCCCGGCGCCGAUCCCACGGACGUCUGUCAGAACUUCAUGUGCCGCGGAAGAGCGCAAGUGCACCGAUGAUGCAGUGGGCGUGCGUGGACCCAGGUCCUCCUCGCUGGAGGCGCAGGCAAGAGCGAGUGAACCGACUGCCGUCGCCGCUGCCGCACCCGUCACAAGAUGGCCAGAGCGACAAGAGCAGGUGAUCCCCCGCGCCUUUGCCCGCACGGAGAGCCCGUCACCGCUGCGCCGCGCUGCGCAGACGGAGCUGGCAACCGGCAAUGCUGAGCGCAACGCCGCUACUGAGGCCUCUCCCGACACGGAAGUAUCCGGUGCCCGCUGUGGUCCGCUUAGGAAGCUCGCACUGCUCUCUUUUUGCAGUGAUGGCGGCCAGGAGGUGAUGGACCACCGGCCACGCUCUGAGCGCGCGUUACGGCUUGCACGCGUGAGCAACACGGUGACUCUGUCGUCGCCACCAGCGUUCUCGUCUACGUCCACCUCCGCUGUGCCGCUCCCUGGAUCGCCGCCGUUGUCAAGCGCCUCCUCCGCUUCCGUUCCAAUGCAACAGCAGCGGCUGCGACUGCCGUCACACUCGCCUGAAUCGGUGAGUUCCGCGUCCCUCUCGCGUGCGGUGGUACGGCGGGAGUCACUGAGCGGGGCGAGUGUGACAGCCGCGACGUCCUCCGACAGCUACGAUCGCGGCGAGGUCCAUGACCAUCAUUGCAGCCGUCGGCAACGGUCCGACUCCCGCUAUCGCGCCAUCGGCGACGUGGAUGACGACGAUGGCACCACCAGCAGCUCGCCCGGCCUCACCGAGACGAACGGCGCACGACCGCCGUCGCAUGCACCGGCGCCGCUUCACCCAUCCUCUUUCCUGACGCAGGCGCUGCCGCACGCGUGCCGCAGCUCGCAGAGCAGCAGCGACAGCGCCAAAGAGUGCCGCCCGGGCGAGGCGCAGCGGGCCGAUGCGGCGCGGCAGGCGCUCGACUCAUCGCAAGCAUCAUCACCGGCGCCGUCUCCACUAGCGUCGCGCUCUCCCUCGUUGAGCGCGCCGCCGUCCGCGCAGCUACCACCUCGGCGCACCGUCGAGGAGACUCGUAGGGAUAGCAGCAGCGAUGGGGACGGCAGCGGCGCGGCGCGGCGAAUUCCGCGUCACGGCACGUGCCCUGUCAUGACGGAGGUAGCUGAGUUGCAGCUUCCUCUAGCCACACCAACGGAGGCCGCUGUGGGCUGCGGCGGUAGUGGUGCGGCGGCAGUCGCUGGCGAAAGCCCUCCACCCAAGUCGUCGUGGGAACGACCGCCACAGCAAGAGCAGUGCCACUGGCGCACACGGCGUCGUGCUCCAGGCUGCAGCUUCUGAGGCCGACAUGGCCAACGAAGCUCGUGCAGGCGACGACGUGGCGCGGGCGUCUCGUGAGCGUAGAGAGCUCCCCGCUACAGCUUCCCUCAGGGACGGCGUUGCUGCCGCUCUGGAGUUGGACGGAGCACGUCGUGGUGCCGCGCCACCAACUGAUGCUCCACGCCAUGUUAAGCCGCCGCCGCCGCCUCAACGGCGAGCGCUGGAUCGGUGGCGCAGUCAGGCAUCUCUAGUCGGCGGCCGCGCUGCUGACACCGCCGCACUCUCGUCUUCCUUGCGAGUCGUCACGCCUUCCUCGCGGGGCUCCGCCGCGGGCAAGUGACUGAAUGUGGCGAUGGCCAUCGAUCCCAGUCAGCCCGCGAAUGUGGCGAAACGGGGAAAAGGCCGUUCAGGGGUGGCGUCAACGUUGCGCGUUGGGUGCGCGGCACUGUUGGCUGCGAGGCCGGCCUUUCCGGGGCCUCGCUGAUACCGCCGCCGGCCCGCAAAGCUGCUGAGGCGCGCGUGUGCGCACCUCCCACAAACUUCGGGAGCGCGAGCACAACUAACGCCUCAGGCGCCGCGGGCAACUUUUGUGGCAGCGAGCCACUCCGUGUGCUGGCGGCCCCGAUCGCCCCGCUCCCUCAUCGCACGCCGCCACGCGAGGCGGUGGCGCCCUCUGUCCUCGCUGAGGUGACGCAGAGCUGUGCAUCAGCAGCGCUUGUGUCGGGGAGGCAAGCUUAUCAAGGUGUGGCCGCGCUUUCGUGGACGCUGUCGUCGCGUUCGCGCGUGCGGCUGACGGUCAUCACAUCAUCGGCGCAGGAGCGCCGGGCGAACAAGGCUGAGGGUGAGUCGGCCGUGGGAGGCGCCGCGCAAGUCGACCCGCGUGAUCGGAGUAGCGGUGCCCGAUGGCGUGAAGCGGGCAGCGCUGACGAGGCUUUUCUUGUGCGCAGCGGCGACGCACGCCGCGGUGAAAUGGCUGCGGUGCCGCAGCACGCUCACCCGCUGCGGAGUUCCUCGAGUGGGCAGCGUGCAUCACGCCGAGGGCUCGCGGCGGUGUUGGCGCAACGGGCUGCCGCCAUGUGCAGCUCGGCGAGCAGCGCGGUGGUGGACGGCGCCGAUGAAGACGAGGAGACGCGAAUCGUAGCGCGCACGUGGCGGCCCGCCACGUGUCUCGAGUUUGUGCGCGACGAUGCCCGUCGGCGCAGCACCGGGGACGAUUGCCAGAGCAGCUGGGGCGCAGCUGGAGCGCAUCGUUGGGGGCAGGGGCCGCACCAUUCGCGAGCGACGCAGAGGUCGGCAGCAGUAGCCGGUGCGCCGUCCGGCGGUCAUCAAACAAGGACAGCCAAUCACCCUCACGACGGCUCACAUGGCCCUGUGCUGUCGAUCGAGGCAUCGCCCCUUGUCUCACCCGUAUCGUUGGCAGCCGAGGCGACCUCUGAUGUGGGUGCGAGCGCGCGCCAGGCGUGCUCUGCAGCUACGUGGCGGGCCGGUGCCGCCUCUAAUGGUGUUGGUGGAGGUGUUCUCUCAAGUGCGACGUUGGUGCCUGGAUACGCUGCUGUGUACAGCCCUUGUAUGCUUGCCACACGGGUGCUGGAGGCGCGCAAGGCCCUCUUGGGAACCCCCAGCGCCGCUGUCCCCGCUGCAGCAACGAGCGUCUGUCCUCCCGGACCGUCUGGUGCACUACCUCUGCAUUGCGGCAGUCGCGCCAUGCCGGCGGUGGGGGCCACCGUUGCUGCUGCUGCUACCAGUGGUGGCGUGCCGUCGUGGUCUCCUUCUUCGCUGCUGAGCCCACCGCAGGCUUACAUUGACUUGAAGGAGCGAAACGCAGAUGAUGGCGUGGUGCCAGCGGCGGCGCCCGAUGCCGCGCCGUGGAGCCUCUACCUGAGCGGAUCGCCGGAUGCCGAGGAAUCGAUGCGGCACCGUGCAGCGCUGCCUCGGCAGCUAACACGAGGGCAACAGCACCUGCACGAGCAACCGGAAUUGCCAGCGGACAAGUCUCCCUAUCCGGUGGCGCGACGCAUCCCAUUCGGGUUCGCUGCCGGCACUCUUGCAGGGGCCACAUCUGCGCAAGCCGUAUUGCCUUCGCCUGACGAGCGCCUGCGAAGCUGUCACUCGAGGACGGCUUCACCGGCAGAGGACGCCUCUGCAUCAGUCCCCGGGGCGCACCUUCACGCCGAGGGUGGCUACCAGCGCGCGAGGAGGCUGCCCUGCCACACACCCGCCGAGGAACAACACAGCGUCACAGCUUCGGCGCCCAGCAGCCCAAUCGUGGCCCAAUCAGCGGCGGCGUCUGCUGCGGCUCCGUUAGGACGCAUGCCCACAACAUUAUCCCCCACCACCGCACCUUCCUCCGCUCCUCGUGCAAGUUCGGCGGAUACGGCGCAGGGCCGACACCGAAGCAUUCCGCCGCCGGAAUACCACGCCGUAAUCCAUGCUGCUGGCGCUGGAUCGCGGGCCAGUGAACGAGCGCGCUCGACAUCAAGGCGCUUCUGGAUAGCGGCAACGAAUGCCGACCAGAGUCACGAUGCGCUUGAUGUGCGCCACAAGCGCGAGGCACACAUACUCGCCCAGCAGCGGCUCAUCCAAGAGGAGGCGUUCCGCCGUCGCUACAUCAGCAUGCAAGAGGAUCAUUGCUUUGCGGUUGAGGUGGCGGAGCUCAACUACCAGCGUGCCGUGGAAUACGUUCAUCAAGCGUCAGCCGCCGGCGCGGUCGCGACACCUGCUCGGCGGAGCGGCCACUGUGCUGCUCUCUUGACGGCCGGUUGCGACGCAGGGCCGCUGGUGGGUCUCCAGCGGGUACGGUGCGAUCAGGCAGCCAUGACGGCUACGCUGAGCACGCUUGCGAAGGAGCUGGCUGCACUGUCGCCGUAGCGCGAUGCGAGACGUAUCGAGCGCAUGCCAGUGGGGUGCUGGGCAACACUUGGCGGCGCGUGGCUCUUUCUCACUGGUUUGGGCACGCCCACGCUGUGGGUGUGUCGGUGUCUGCCCUGCCGCUCUCUCUCCUGAUCUCUCGUCCUGGCAACAACAAC